GAUGGUGUUUUGGGUGGUGGUGAGUGUUAAUGGUGUUGGUUUGGUGAUGCGAGGGGUGCUGAUGGUCGGGCAGUGCGAGGCCAUUUACUAUGGUGGUCUCAGUCAGUGAGAGGUCAUUCACUAUGGACUCAGUCAGUGUGAGGCCAUUCACUAUGGUCUCAGUCAGUGAGAGGUCAUUCACUAUGGUCUCAGUCAGUGAGAGCUCAUUCACUAUGGUCUCAGUCAGUGUGAGGUCAUUCACUAUGGUCUCAGUCAGUGAGGUCAUUCACUAUGGUCUCAGUUAGUGAGAGGUCAUUCACUAUGGUCUCAGUCAGUGAGAGGUCAUUCACUAUGGUCUCAGUUAGUGAGAGGUCAUUCACUAUGGUCUCAGUCAGUG
ensembl:lncRNA